GUGAGGUGAAGAUUUUGGAGACUUAUGAUGCUCCUCCCCUGCCUAGUUUUGAGUACAAGUGAAUCAAGGUUUGGUUUGAACUUCAAUUAGUGGUCGUUGUUAAUGUUGAUUGAAUAAUUAUAAUACCUUAAAUUAGUUAGUUACCUUAAUCAUGGUUUUUUUUUUGUUGACAAAGUUAGUUACCAUGUUAAUCCUUGUUUCGAAAUCAACAAUAUUAUGUAGUAAUACUGAUGAGUGCAGUGCUGGAUUUUGGUUACAAUAAAUUUUUUUUUUAAUGUUAUUGUUAAAGAUGGAGAUGAAGCUCCAUUGAUGGAUGCAUAAAAUAGGCGCAAUGCAGGAAAACUAGUAUCGAGCGCAGUAGCGAGAGAGAAAAAUGAGCGCAGAAACAUAAAGCUCAAAAUUGCAUUAUUCAAAAAUCUGUUUGAUGCAAUAGAUGAGUCUCAUAUUUAUACAACACAAGGACUAAGAUCAACCUAACUAGAUGCAGUUACAACUUGAAACUAAACCUAACAAACAGACAAAUCAGUUAACAGUUAUCACUUAACUCUAAGUUAGUUGGAUAACUUGUGAUGCAAGUAACUAUUCAUUCUUUCUUAUCUUCACAUUUGACUGUUAUAAUAAUUAGUGUAAGUAUACUAGAUUGCCAGUAGUUUAAUUACAGUGUGUUUAAAUUAAAUUCUCGUUCUUAUGUUUGCUGCCUUAUUGCUUGGAUUUUAGGUAUUUGAUAGUAGUACUUGAUUGAAUUUGUGGUGAUUGGUUUCGUAAGAAUAGUGAAAUAAUUACCUCUUCAUUGCAAAUAAUUGUUGCAAACAUGAUCCUUGAACCUUGUGUAUGAAUUUGUGUUGUAUGAAAUGAGUUGAGAGUGAAGUGAUAAAGUUAAGGUUGAUAUUUCAAUAGUAAUAUAAACCAGUAUUAGUGUUUAUCAAUGGUUGAUUGUACUUACCUAGACUUUGCUGUUAGCUUUGGAGGAGUCGAAUAUAAUAUAUGUAAUACGAUGUUAAGAAUAAGAAGAUGUAGGACAGAGUAAUUAGAAAAGGUGUUGUAGAUUUAAAGUAAUGUUGUGAUGUGAGACGGAGGAGGUUGUGUUUUGCAAUGUUUAUUUUGUUGACAUAGCUUUGCCUGAAUAAUAAACAAAUUGAGGUAGACCACUAAGUAAUGAACAUGUCCACGACGAUAUCCAAAAAGAGUUCCAACAACUCUUGAACCAAGACCAGAUGGCAGAAGGUAUAUUUGAACGGUUUUUGUUGAAUAUUGUAAGAACAGAACGAAGCCUUGAAAUUGCUACUGCUUGUAGCUUUUUCCUAGUUGCUGCAUGUCCUGAAACAACCUUUUCAUCAUGUUUUUUGGUGUUUUGUUCUUCUAUGAUUUUGGACAUGGUGGUGGGAACUUCUUCUGGCAUUGGGACUAUUGUUGUGCAUUGUCAGUGUAAAGAUUCUUUACACAUGCAUCCAAUGAUGUGUUGCCACAUCAUUUAAUGAAUGUGACACAUCAUGUGUUUUUAAAUACCAUACAUGAUGUGUUGGUAUAUUAUUGGACGCAUGUGUAAAAUAACUUUACACUGACGGUGCAUAUAAAUUAAAUUCAAUGGAAUAGAGUUUAAUUGUUGUGCAUUGUCGGUGUAAAAAUUCUUUACACAUGCAUCCAAUGAUGUGUUGCCACAUCAUUUAAUGAAUGUGACACAUCAUGUGUUUUUAAAAUAAUAUGAUUUUACUAAUAUGAUUUUAAAAUAAAAAAUGAUAUCAGUAUCUUUGACUUUUAUGAAUUUAAUUCCUCAUUAAAGACAAAUUUACUCAAAUGUCCUUUUGUUUUACUAUAUAUAUGAUCUUUCCCUCAACACUAAAACUCACAAUUUCCCAAAUCUCCUCUCUUUAGUUAUAUUCAUUUCUCUUUAGUAUUUUCAUUGUUAUUAAUUUUCAAUUUAUCUAUAUGUAUUUAUCUAUAUUCAGUUCGAUAUAUACUCAUUAUUCUUUUUGAUUUUUGCAGAUGUAGAUCACAAAAGAAGAAUAUGAUAUGUGAAUUCUAAAGAAAUUGGAUCAUACAAUUUUGAUUAUAUGAGUUUUAAGUAUGAAUGUAAAUUUUAAAUGUGUAAUGUAUUUUUUUACAAGAUAUGUGUAAUGUGUAUUGUAAAUCAUACUUCACAUGACAAUUCAAAAUGUUGUUUUGGUUAAAUUAUUUUGUUAUUUCUAUAA
rnacentral:lncRNA from 1 species